AUGCACGCUGGCGGCGUGCUUAACACAUGCACGUCGAACGAUGAAGCCCAGCUUGCUGGGUGGAUUAGUGGCGAACGGGUGAGUAACACGUGAGUAACCUGCCCUUAACUCUGGGAUAAGCCUGGGAAACUGGGUCUAAUACCGGAUAGGAGCGUCCACCGCAUGGUGGGUGUUGGAAAGAUUUAUCGGUUUUGGAUGGACUCGCGGCCUAUCAGCUUGUUGGUGAGGUAAUGGCUCACCAAGGCGACGACGGGUAGCCGGCCUGAGAGGGUGACCGGCCACACUGGGACUGAGACACGGCCCAGACUCCUACGGGAGGCAGCAGUGGGGAAUAUUGCACAAUGGGCGCAAGCCUGAUGCAGCGACGCCGCGUGAGGGAUGACGGCCUUCGGGUUGUAAACCUCUUUCAGUAGGGAAGAAGCGAAAGUGACGGUACCUGCAGAAGAAGCACCGGCUAACUACGUG
rnacentral:rRNA from 1 species